UACUGUGAAACUGCGAUGGCUCAUUAAAUCAGUUAUAGUUUAUUUGAUGGUACCUCCUACUCGGAUAACCGUAUCUUUCCAUGCGGUAGUGGCGGCCCAAAGCCGCUGCUAGUGGGGCAACGUUGUUUUACACGGCUGUCCUGCGACACUGUCAAACUGCCGGAAAAUCCUGGUAUGUCAGUGGUACCGUCUGCCACUCGAAAGGCUGGCCAGACACCUCGGUGAAAAUCGGGGGUACGGUAACAACCCGCUGAAUAGGGACGAUCGGCAGCCAAGCCCUAAGGGCCGACAGGCCUAUGGGUGCUGUUCACAGACUAAAUGGCAGUGGGCCGGCUUCGAUAGAGUCGGCUUAAGAUAUAGUCGGUCCGCUCCGAGAGGAGAGCCUGCGGGAGGAACCGGAAGGGAACCCUUCCGGGGAGAGCCCACAGGGUGCGGUGUAGUAGACGACCUGGCGACGGGUCGUCGGCCCGAGCGGCCUGCCGCACGGAGUAAACGAGGAAAUCUAGGGCUAAUACGUGCGUAAAUCCCGACUUCUGGAAGGGACGUAUUUAUUAGAUAAAAGACCGACCGGCUUCGGCCGACCCUCGGUGAAUCAUGAUAACUUCACGAAUCGCAUGGCCUUGUGCCGGCGAUGUUUCAUUCAAAUUUCUGCCCUAUCAACUUUCGAUGGUAGGAUAGAGGCCUACCAUGGUGGUAACGGGUGACGGAGAAUUAGGGUUCGAUUCCGGAGAGGGAGCCUGAGAAACGGCUACCACAUCCAAGGAAGGCAGCAGGCGCGCAAAUUACCCAAUCCCGACACGGGGAGGUAGUGACAAGAAAUAACAAUGCCGGGCUCAUCGAGUCUGGCAAUUGGAAUGAGUACAAUCUAAACCCCUUAACGAAAACCAUUGGAGGGCAAGUCUGGUGCCAGCAGCCGCGGUAAUUCCAGCUCCAAUAGCGUAUAUUUAAGUUGCUGCAGUUAAAAAGCUCGUAGUCGGUUUUCGGGCGGGUUGCGCUGUUCCGCCUUUGGCGUGCAAUGGCGUGGCCCGCUUUUCUGCCGGGGACGGGCUCCUGGGCUUCACUGUCCGGGACCCGGAGUCGGCGCUGUUACCUUGAGUACUAAAGGUUGGCAGCAAAGAGUCACCCGGAAACGGGAGGCUAGUGGGCUGGAGACCCCAUCUCCAGUCCGCGACACCGUCGAAUUGCGGGAACGUCCUUAGAGCUCCAUCUACCAAGCUGUUAGCCGAAAGGCGCAGUGGCCAGGGUAAUGACCUCGGGUAUGGUAAUAACGGUGGAUAUUGGAUAAUCCGCAGCCAAGCUCCUAAGGGCCUCGGCCUAUGGAGAAGGUUCAGAGACUAAGUGGCGGUGGGCCGGUGAAGGAUCGCCGGCUUAAGAUAUAGUCCAGCCCUGUGGAGACACAGCCCAGAGAGGAAAGACUGUAUGCACAGUCCGGAGCUCUGGGAGCCGCCUACCCGGCGGUGGGACCAACUGUACCUUGAGUAAAUUGGAGUGUUCAAAGCAGGCAUACGCUCUGAACAUAUUAGCAUGGAAUAACGAUAUAGGACUCUGGCCUAUUUCGUUGGUCUGUGGGACCGGAGUAACGACCAAUGGGGGCAGUCGGGGGCAUUCGUAUUUCGUUGUCAGAGGUGAAAUUCUUGGAUUUACGAAAGACGAACUGCUGCGAAAGCGUUUGCCAAGGAUGCUUUCGUCGAUCAAGAACGAAAGUUGGGGGCUCGAAGACGAUUAGAUACCGUCCUAGUCUCAACCAUAAACGAUGCCGACUAGGGAUCGGCGGAUGUUCUUUCGAUGACUCCGCCGGCACCUCAUGAGAAAUCAAAGUGUUUGGGUUCCGGGGGGAGUAUGGUCGCAAGGCUGAAACUUAAAGGAAUUGACGGAAGGGCACCACCAGGCGUUACAAUGCUCUAGCGCCGUAUAGUGCAGGUUGCAACCCUGUGCUAGUGAGGGGUCCUUUCUGAAGGAUCUUUUGCGACACCUUCAAAUUGCGGGGACGCCCUAAAGCUCACCGGUACCAAGGSAGCGAGGAAACUCAGCUGCUGGCCCUAGUUAAUCGCUAGGGGUAGGGUAAAAAUCUGGUGAGAUGAUCCAGUCACUUGGUGAAAUGGGUUAUCCGCAGCCAAGCCCUAAGGGUGCGUUACAACACACACCUAUGGGUGCAGUUCACAGACUAAAUGUAGGUGGGUGUGCGAGUCGGCAAUGAAUGGUUGCCGGACUUGCAUGCUUAAGAUAUAGUCGGCCCGCCUCUAAAGAGGAGCCCAGGGGAGGACGGACGUGAGCAACGUCCCGAGAGCCCUUGGGGACCGAGGUAGUAGACCGCGGAGCAACCCGCGGUCGGCGCACAAGCCUCUCGGUCGGAUCAGCGGGAGCCUGUGGCUUAAUUUGACUCAACACGGGAAAACUUACCAGGUCCAGACAUAGUGAGGAUUGACAGAUUGAGAGCUCUUUCUUGAUUCUAUGGGUGAAACCACUUGCCCAUCAGAGCGGUGCGAAAGCACUUGCUAGUCGCCCGUCUGGCCGCUAUUGCGAGGCCGGACGGGGGGCGAGACCGUCGAAUUGCGGGGACAUCCUUACAGCCUUUGUUACCAAGCCGGCGUGGAAACACAGUCGGUGGCCAGGGUAGUGACCUCGGGUACGGUAAAAACACAAAGGAUUGGACUAUCCGCAGCCAAGCUCCUAAGGGCCCUCGCGCCUAUGGAGAAGGUUCAGAGACUAAGUGGCGGUCGGUCCCGUUGGGGCUUAAGAUAGAGUCCAGCACUGCCGAAAGGCAGCCUCGAGAGGAACGUCUUUAGCAGAGACUGGAGCUCGAGGGGAGUCGGUGCUAUUGUGAGCACCCGCUCUUGACGAACUGGGUGGUGCAUGGCCGUUCUUAGUUGGUGGGUUGCCUUGUCAGGUUGAUUCCGGUAACGAACGAGACCUCAGCCUGCUAAAUAGUCACAUCCACUUCGGUGGUUGGCCGACUUCUUAGAGGGACUAUCUGCGUCUAGCAGACGGAAGCAUGAGGCAAUAACAGGUCUGUGAUGCCCUUAGAUGUUCUGGGCCGCACACGCGCUACACUUGACSCGAUCAGCGAGCCUAUCCUUGGCCGAGARGUCCAGGUAAUCUUGCAAUCCGCGUCGUGAUGGGGAUAGAUUAUUGCAAUUAUUAAUCUUCAACGAGGAAUGCCUAGUAAGCGCGAUUCAUCAGAUCGCGUUGAUUACGU
rnacentral:rRNA from 1 species